UCUACCCGUCGCUCAUCAUUUUGAUCCCUGUCGCCUCGUCCGAGGAAACUUUCAGUGACAACGACGGGUGCAGUCGUCAAAACCCAGCCGCGCGUUGCAGCACGUAUCGCCGCGAGAUGCCUCGCAGAAACGCCAGCCUUUGCGACCUCCCCGUGGAGCUCGUGGCGCUCGUCCUUUCCCACAUCGAGCACGUCAAAACACGACAGACACUAGCUAGAAGCUAUGAGCAUAGUCUUCGUAAGAGUAUGACAUUUUUUGAAAUUUACGCCUGGGGCGCACGAUGUGCGAAAACCCGAAAUUCAGAAGUUCCGCAUUUUUGUCCUGAUGAAGUAGACCCUCGAUGUCGAGUCAGGCAGCUCGCGAAUCGAACGCGUCGGGAUUUGUGUGUUGACGAUUUUCCAAACUUGGAACAGAACUUUCACUGAUUCUUGUGUCGUCUAGCGACCCUGUAGAACAUUUACGGACCGACCAUUUCGUCGGGCUCGUCAUACGCCCACACUUCGCUUCGCGCGUUCGACAAGCAAGACAAGACGCAGCAAACAUGCGCGCCACUACCCUCGUCUUUUCUCUCACCUUCGCACUCCUCGGCACGAGCGCCCACGCGAACAGUUCCGACGACAACAAGUACAUUUGUUUCAACACGACCAAGUACGUGGGGACCAAGAAUGUCGAAGUCGAUAUGGGUGGCACCUUACAGACAAAACCCUGCGACACUUGGAUCGACAUGUUGCAGACCGGCACUAAUGAUCUUGCCGGCAUCACCUUCGACGCGAACUUUGACGCCUCAACGGCGUCGGAUGCUGCUAAACGUCAUAUCCAGUCGUUCGGCACGACACUUAAAUGCUGCUCCGAUGGCAAAUCGGCUCUUUACAAGAACCAGAAGUAUUUUUGCAAAGAUCCAACCGAUUGGGCCCCAGACAAGACGUACAAAGGUCCCGAAACGAGCAACACGGAGCUCUCAUGCGACGUUUGGGUUGCAGGUGAUGAUGAUAUCAAAAAUGAAGAUUUUAGCAAGCCUUGGAGCUGCGACGAAAAGUCGGCAACGAUCAAGCAGGACGUUCAGCUCCUAGGUGCCGACGUCAUGGGUUGCUGCGGCGCCACCAAACAGUCCGCGUGCCACCCGUACUCUGUGUCCGGAGCGGCAUCCUUGCAGCAUGUCGGAGUCAUCGCCCUCGCUGCGGCCGUCGCCGUUUUCUUGGCGUAAAAAAUCGCCACCCACAAGGACAUGACGCCGUAAACACCGCGGCGAAGAAACGUCAUCGUCUCCGAGCCUCGACGGCUAUAGAAGAACGCGGCGAAUCGCCGCCAGCGCGACGCACAAUAAGGCUGGUUAGCCCCGCCACCACAUAGCAUACCGCUGGAAUGCAAGUUUUCCUUUUUCAUGAGCUGCCUGAUGACACGCGCUACCCGCCUUACUCCGACGUUCGCUCACUACUUUCGGUCACGGCGCGACGAACCUUCGGCGGCGAGCGAGAGACCUUCGCAACACUCACACGUCGCCCGUCCUAAACGCGCAGCCGCCCUCCUGCCAAGGCACCCUCGCGUACACCAGCAGCGUCGACGUCUCCGCGCACGACCCAGCCUCCGCGAUCAUCGUCUCACCGUCGCACCACACGUGCGCGUACGGCACCGAGGGCAGCGCGCCCUCCCGAAACGACCUGCGCAGACGCGGGCUCGGCGACAUGAGAGCGCCCAUGAUUCUCCCGGAUGCGACGUCUACCCCGUCCAGCGGCGUGCCCGUGCGCUCGAACCGCGUGGUGAGCAGGCACGCGCGCCGCGUCUCGAUCUCCUCGCGCGUUUCCAUCCCGACGAUCUCCUCGCGCGGCUCGGGGGACGUGGACGCGGGGGGAGGCGCGCGGCGCGCUCCGGUUGUCGCGACCCCGCCGAUGCGCCAGCUGGCGAAAUCGGCGGCGUCCGCGUCCAGCCGGCGUCCAACCGCGUCGCCUCCCCCGUCCACGUCACCAUCCACGUCACCACCACUCGCCUCAGAAGUCGCCAGCGUCUUCACCGGCGUGCCCCCGGUGCGCCAGUUGACAAACGCGCCGACGUCGACGUCGACGGCGAGCCGCGGCCGCCGCCGUGAGCCGCGCCGCCGCCGCCGCGCCGCCUCCGCCUCCUCCUCGCGGUCCAGCAUCGAUCCCGCGCGGGCAUCCGUCGCAUCCGCGUCCGUCUCGGCGUCAACGCCGCCCGCCGCCCCCCGCCCGUCGUCGAUCGAUCCAGAGUUCGAUCGAUCCUGACGUCGACCGACGGCGUGGAGAAGGCGAGCCUCGGUGACGAGGUCGCCCGCCACGCGGAAACGACCGACGCCGAAGGCAACCUCGGACCUCGACGUCAUCCUCAGCGACCGCCGCGGUGCGUACGUACCCCGCGUUCCGCGCGCGCCCUCGUCGCUCUCCUCCCGCGCGCCCGGAGCUCGGAACUCCACCGUCGCGGCGUCGGAACGAAACGGCACCGCGAGGCCGUUGAGGACGGCUUCCCCGAUUGAGAAGGGAAACGGCGCCCCAGUCUCUCGCUCGCCGAACGCCACGAUCCAUUCCUCUCCCGACCGACCCCCCGCGCUCAACUCGGCGGCGAGUCGCCACGGGGGGAAGAGGUCGGGAACUCGCGCCAGCCUCGCGGACUCGUGCUGCGCCUCCUUGGCGAUCCAGAAGAAGGGGGACGCGAGCCAGGUGGCGGGUGAACGGAGCGUGUGUUGGGCGCAACCCGCCAGUCUCCAUCGCGUCCCCGCGAGGUGGGGCGUUCGGUCGUCCGUGACGUCGCGCAGGCGGUCGACGGCGGCGCGGAGGGCCGCGACGUCGGCUUCCGUGGCGAGAACGCCGCCGUCGGUCCGGAGGCACCACGCGCGGACCUCCUCGACGGCGAGCGUCGCGACGGAGCUUUCGCGACCGACGACGUUGUUGCUUUUCUCGGGAUCGGUCGUGCUCUUGCCAUCGGGGGGCGACGACGGGGGCUCCCGCGAGGCGGCGGCGGCGUGCGGGAGGUUCGGACGUCGUCCGGCCCGGCGAUGGAAGGCCCGGGGCGAUGAUGCGACGGGGGCGAACCCGGCGACGGCGGACAUGGUCGCCAUCGACGGGCGCUCCUCGAAGUGACCGUGGGCUCCUCCGAGAGUUAUCGGCGCGUGCUGACUUGGCUGGCGGAGCGACAAGUCCUAAGUGAAAGUUUCGCGACGAGGGGCGGCGGCGGUCAGAGAGAGAGCGGCGCGCGCCUCCCUCCACGGGACGCACGCGACGUCGCGGACCUCGUCGAUUCUCACGCGAUGGGGUGGUACCUGUGCUACUUCCUCCACAGGCACCUGGACUUCCGCCGCGAGGAGCUGCAGGCGCUCGCCGACAUGGCCGGGUGCGGCGCCGACAUCAAGUGGCGCGAGCCGCACGGUGGCGUCGACCACUCCCCGUUCUGGCGCGUCUACAUCCCGACCGAGGAGCUCGCCGUGGAGGUAUGCAGGCGCAGCGUCCUGACGCGCGCUCUGAUCGAGGUGUGGGGCGAGGGCGACACCCAGGAGGAGCUCAACGCCGCCGUGAAAGCCUUCCCCGACGAACGCAAAGAUCCGUACAUCGCGGAGGGCACGACGUUCAAGGUGUGCGUCGAGGACUUUGGCAAGACCGAGCACGGCACGGAGAAGAACCCGUGGUCGCACGUCGUCGCGCGCAUCGACGCCCUCAAACCCGUCCUCCAAUUCAGGGGCAGGGCGAGGAUGAAAGGCCCGCAGCAUCUCUUCUGGUCCAUCGAAUCGGCAAACGCGGACGACCUCAAGGGUGUGCCGUCGGACAUACCCCCGCGAAGGUACUUCGGACGCGUCGUCGCCACCGGCGACCGAUCGCCGCUGAGCAAGUACGACCUGAAGAAGCGGCGGUACCUCGGUCCGACGUCGAUGGACGUGGAGAUGGGUUUGAUCAUGUGCAACAUGAUUCAGGCGAGGCCGGGGGGCGUCGUGUGGGACCCGUUCUGCGGCACCGGUUCGCUGCUCAUCAACGCCGCGCACUUCGGCGCCUUCACGAUGGGCUCGGACAUCGACAUCAGGGUCAUCAAGUGGGGCAAGAAGGACAAACGCACGGGGCAGAACGUCGACGUCUGGACCAACUUCGAGGACUACGGCUUGGAACCCCCCGUGGGUUUGCUGCGAAUGGACCUGCACAAGCACAGCUGGACCGCGUUGGCGCACGUAGAGGGGACGCUGCAGGGCGUCGUCGGGGACCCUCCGUACGGCGUGCGCGCGGGCGGGCGGAAGAGCGGCGGGCGUAAGCGCGGGACGGACGGCGCGGUCAAGCCCGUUCCCGAGGAGCACAGGGAGAACCACAUCCCGAGCACGGCGCCGUAUCCCUUCAGCGAGUGCAUGGACGACUUGAUGGACACGUCGGCUCGGCUGCUCGCGAUGGGCGGCCGGCUCGCGUUCUUCAUCCCGGCCGCGGCGGACCCGGAAGACGCCGCGGCGGCCGGGGUUGACAGCGUCCCGUCGCAUCCGGCGCUGAAGCUUCGCGCGUCGAGCGUUCAGCUGCUCAGCGGUCGGUGGGGCCGGAGGCUGGUGACGUUUGAAAAAGUCAAACCGUACGACGCGGCUAUCGCGAAAGCGGCGCGGGAGACGCUGAGAGAGCGACGCAAGACGGAAGGGGGCGUGGAGGACUUGCUGGAGCGCAUGCGCGAGAUCGUGUACCAGCCGCGGGGGGGUGACGGACCGGGGGUGGACGAGGACGGGAACGCGAAGCCGCGGAGAAAGAGGGGGACGGGGCCCAGCGGGGGUAAGUUUACGCCGACGCCCUCCAAGCCGGAGGCGGCGGCGGCGCUGCGGGCGGCGGGCGGCGGCGGCGGCGGCGGCGGGAGCGACGGCGGGAGCGGCGGCGGCGAGGUGGGCGCCAUGCACAGGGCGCACUCGGCGGUCGGGGUCAAGAUGGACAAGGCGAAACGCCCAGAGUUCAGGGGUAAGAACACUUAGGUUGAACACUUAGGUUGAACACUUUGUCGACCCGCCGUUGUUUGCGACGGCGCUCCGCGUCCCAUCCCUCGUCUUCGUCUUCGUCUUCUUCGGCUUCUUCGUCGUCUGUUUCGUCGUCGUCUCGUCCUUCUUUUUCUCAGUCUCCUCUCAGGAGGUCCGGGGGAUACGCCGGGUGACUCUUCCAGUCGAACCCCUCGGACGAGUGACAAAGCCGAGCCGGCGGGGCGAACCAGGAAACGAACCUUCGCGGCGAGCGUCUCAAACGCACGCGCCGCCGCUCCUCGUUCAAUCGCCUCAGCGUCACCGGGUCCCUCCUCCCGCCCGUCACCGGGUCCUCGAGGUAGUCGACGCCCGUCUGCAGCUGCGACGUCUUCGCCCGCUCCCGCAAAACCCCUUCGUUGUACUUUUCCACGCAGGCGGGGAAGUCUCUCUCGAAGUCGGCUCGCGCGCGCGCGGGUCCAUCUCCGCGGUUGUACGCCACGAUCGUCUCCUUGAACUUCUCGACGAAGGUUCGGAAGUUGGCGUCGAUGAGCACAGCGUCCGACGGGUCGUCCUCGGCGGCGUCGAGUUCUGCGCGCGUCGUGAGCACGCGCGUCGGGGCCCCGCUCGCGUCGUCCGCCGUCUUCGCCGGGGCGAACUCCACGAGGGUGCCGAGGUCGUCGAUGUUGAAGCCGAGGGCGUCAAUGAGAUUCGCGAUGGCGUCGGGGUCCGUGAGGGUGCCGAGGUCGUCGUCGUCGUCGUCGUCGUCGUCGUCGUCGAGACCGUCGAGACCGUCGAGACCGUGGAGAACCGGCGCUCGCCUCCUCCAAGGGGGCUCGUAGGGGCGGAGGGGAGGGUCCACGAGGAAAGUCGCGCGCUUUAUCGGACUGACGUCCAUGUCGGAGGCGUCGUCGACGAAGGCGUCGUCGUUAAAAGGUGCAUCGUCGUCGUCGAAGACGUCGAUCUCCGAGGAGGUGUCGACGAUGCACCUCUCGACGACGGCGCGCACGUCCUCGAUAUCGCGCUCCUGUCGCGAGGCGCCUCCUCCCACCACCGCUUUCGUCGCGCUCGCGGGUCUCGCCACCGGGCGCGGGUAUCGCACCCCGCGCACCACGUAGCCGUCGGGUAGUGCAUCGUCGUCGGGUAGUGCAUCGUCGUCGCGAAGGGUGGCCUCGUCGAUGAUGAGCAUGGCGCCGCGGGCCGCGGGCGCGAGUCGUGGCUCCGCGUCCCUCCAGCCUUUAAAAACCUAUUCGACGAGAGACUCCAUUACUUCACGAAAAGCCACCCGUCGUGGCGCAGUCGUCAAAACCCAGCCGCGCGUUGCAGCACGUAUCGCCGCGAGAUGCCUCGCAGAAACGCCAGCCUUUGCGACCUCCCCGUGGAGCUCGUGGCGCUCGUCCUUUCCCACAUCGAGCACGUCAAAACACGACAGACACUAGAAGCUAUGAGCUCGACGUUCCAAGAGGCUUCUUCCCUGCCCGAGGCUUUGCCGCGGACUUUCGACUUCGAGAGGCUAGCGGGCGAUGAUAUCGCCGACCACCUCGUUCGUGUCCUGGAUGAUGAUCGCGUGCGCC
rnacentral:lncRNA from 1 species